UGAAAUGCGAAAACUAAUGCGAUUUGCAUGAACCUGUGAGUCAUCAAGUAUUUGAACGCACCUUGCACCCUUUUGGGGGUAUACCUGUUUGAGGGUUUGAUACUGGUAUGGUCUCUGUAUGAGGCUGAUAUUGGGGGGCUAUCUGAUUGUGAGAUUCUACAGAUUGUGGGAUUCUACAGCAGACCCCUGAAAUGCAUAAAUGGAUCAAAGUCUAUGCCUGUGUGACAGGAGAUGAGACGCAAGUUUAAAGUCCACUCACAGCCAUAAACUCAAACAUCCAACCACAAUCUCCACGAACCUCAAAUCAGGUAGGGCUACCCGCUGAACUUAA
rnacentral:misc_RNA from 1 species